CUCCUGUACGUGAUCACCCUCGUGGUCCGCUUCCUCGCUGGUGUAGUGACUGACCUGGGCCUCCUCAUCGGCGUGUACUUCAGCAUGAAGGCUCUCAUAAUCGUGAACGUUGUCUGGAAAGGUACCGGUGCCAUCUUCGACAUCGUGCACGGCGCAACAUUCUUCCCUCUCGUCUACCAACAACUCCGCCAGCUGAUAGAUCACAUCUUCAGCAAUGAAGGCCUCGCAAGUGUUGGGUACGAAGAAACGCUAAACUGUACGCUGUACC
rnacentral:lncRNA from 1 species